AGGGAAUUAGUUUAACGGCAGAACAAAGGACUCCAAACCCUUUGGUGUUGGUUCGAAUCCAUCAUUCCCUGCCA
rnacentral:tRNA from 1 species